rnacentral:rRNA from 1 species
AUACGGAGGAUCCGAGCGUUAUCCGGAUUUAUUGGGUUUAAAGGGUGCGCAGGCGGCCAUUUAAGUCAGCGGUUAAAUCGUGGGGCUCAACCCCAUUCUGCCGUUGAUACUGGGUAGCUUGAUUGCGGUCGAGGUUGGCGGAAUUCGUUGUGUAGCGGUGAAAUGCAUAGAUAUGACGAAGAACACCGAUUGCGUAGGCAGCUGACCAGACCGCAAAUGACGCUCAUGCACGAAAGUGCGGGGAUCGAACAGGAUUAGAUACCCUGGUAGUCCGCACAGUAAACGAUGAAUACUUGUUUUCGGCGAUAUAAUGUCGGAGGCAAAGCGAAAGCGAUAAGUAUUCCACCUGGGGAGUACGCCGGCAACGGUGAAACUCAAAUGAAUUGACGGGG